GCAACCCGGGGAACUGAAACAUCUAAGUACCCGGAGGAGAAGAAAACAAAAGUGAUUCCGUAAGUAGUGGCGAGCGAACGCGGAGCAGCCCAAACCAUAGUUGUUACGGCAAUUGUGGGGUAAUAGGACCACGCCAUUUGAUGCUUAAUGAAUUAGAAUCUACUGGAAAGUAGGACCAAAGAGGGUGAUAGUCCCGUAUAGGUAAGUUGAGUUAUUGAUAGUGGUAUCCUGAGUAGUGCGGGGCACGUGAAACCUUGCAUGAAUUUGCCGGGACCAUCCGGUAAGGCUAAAUACUCCUGAGAGACCGAUAGUGAACCAGUACCGUGAGGGAAAGGUGAAAAGAACCCUGAAUAAGGGAGUGAAAUAGAUCCUGAAACCAUACGCUUACAAGCGGUCGGAAUGCUGAAUUUAUUUCAGUAUGACGGCGUGCCUUUUGCAUAAUGAGCCUACGAGUUACCGUUGCUAGCAUGGUUAAUCCGUUCAGCGGAGAAUCCGAAGCGAAAGCGAGUCUGAAUAGGGCGCAAUAGUUAGCAGUGGUAGACGCGAAACCGAGUGAUCUACCCAUGAGCAGGUUGAAGCUGUGGUAACACACCGUGGAGGACCGAACCCGUUGACGUUGAAAAGUCUUGGGAUGACUUGUGGGUAGGGGUGAAAGGCCAAUCAAACUCGGAAAUAGCUCGUACUCCCCGAAAUGCAUUUAGGUGCAGCGUUGUAAAAGUUAUAUAGAGGUAGAGCUACUGAUUGGAUGCGGGGGCUUCACCGCCUACCAAUUCCUGACAAACUCCGAAUGCUAUAUAAUGAUUUACAGCAGUGAGGGCAUGG
rnacentral:rRNA from 1 species